AAAACUCCCCCCCCCCCCUCUGAAAUCCCAACUUUCCCCCCUAAAAUCCCUAAUUUCCCACAUCCAAGAAAAAAAACGAUGACAAGAGGAAUGCUAAUUUUAUGGAUGAAGCUUUUUCUUUUCUCCAGCUUGGUUGGCUCAAUGCAAUUAGAGAAUGGCAAGAGGAGUUGGUUGGCAACAUGAGCUCUAGAGAAUUUGUACCAGAGAUCUCUUACGCAGUCGUAUCUUCGUCUUUACCCCAAGGGGAGAGGUAUGAUAAUUCGUAAACCAUAAUUUGGGCUUUUAUUUCUGCUAAAAUAUUACCAUAAUUUUGUGGGAACUACUGCUCUGAUAAAUAUUUCUUGCGAUGGGAAGAUUAAAAAUUUGCCUAGAGGGGCUACUGUUAUUGAUUAUGCCUACAUGAUACACACCGACAUUGGAAACAAAAUGGUGGCGGCGAAGGUCAAUGGUAAUCUUGUUUCUCCCACGCAUGUGCUUGCCAAUGCAGAAGUUGUGGAGAUUAUUACCUAUAACGAGCUGCAACAAUAUAUUUUUUGAUGCAUUUAGUUGGUUUGCAGUUUAUGGUUAAAUAGUAGAAGAGAUAAGCAUAGAGAAAUGGUCGAUCACCCACACUAAUUUCCUAUCCUGGACAGUCUUCUUCAUCUGUUAGUAGCCAUUGUUUUGACAAUCAUGGUAUAAGAGGAUCACCCACAUCAACAGUCAUUGGACCUUCCAAGCAUCGGCAUUCAACUCUUGGGGAUCCCAAUUUUGUGGAGAAUUACUUCAAGCCUUGGGAAGAAAGUUUGCGGGAUGCACACGAGUUUGGAAAACUUGGGAAGAAAGUUUGGAAUGCCUUCAAUGAAACUGGCAGAGCAAAGAUGGUGCAGCAGACUGCAUUGUAUUUUUUAUUACCUGGCAAUGUGUAUGGUCAUAGGCAGGUUUAACUAGUCAGUCUGUUUCUCAUAUGUAUUAUUUAUUUUAGUUUUGAUUCUAAAUUUUUAUUUAUACUUUAAUAUUUACGACAACUUGAGUUCUAACUUUUGGA